rnacentral:rRNA from 1 species
AGUGAACGCUGGCGGCAGGCCUAACACAUGCAAGUCGAACGGCAGCACAAGAGAGCUUGCUCUCUGGGUGGCGAGUGGCGGACGGGUGAGGAAUGCAUCGGAAUCUGCCCAUUUGUGGGGGAUAACCUCGGGAAACCGGGACUAAUACCGCAUACGACCUACGGGUGAAAGCAGGGGAUCUUCGGACCUUGCGCAGAUGGAUGAGCCGAUGCCGGAUUAGCUAGUUGGAGGGGUAAAGGCCCACCAAGGCGACGAUCCGUAGCUGGUCUGAGAGGAUGAUCAGCCACACUGGGACUGAGACACGGCCCAGACUCCUACGGGAGGCAGCAGUGGGGAAUAUUGGACAAUGGGCGCAAGCCUGAUCCAGCCAUGCCGCGUGUGUGAAGAAGGCCUUCGGGUUGUAAAGCACUUUUGUUGGGAAAGAAAAGCAGCCGGUUAAUACCCGGUUGUCAUGACGGUACCCAAAGAAUAAGCACCGGCUAACUACGUG